rnacentral:rRNA from 1 species
AGUAAAUAGAUACCCGGGUAGUCCACGCCGUAAACGAUGUCGACUUGGAGGUUGUGCCCUUGAGGCGCGGCUUCCGGAGCUAAACGCGUUAAAGUCGACCGCCUGGGGAGUACGGCCGCAAGGUUAAACUCAAAUGAAUUGGACGGGGCCCGCACAAGCGGUGGAGCAUGUGGUUUAAUUCGAUGCAACGCGAAGAACCUUACCUACUCUUGACAUCCAGAGAACUUAGCAGAGAUGCUUUGGUGCCUUCGGGAACUCUGAGACAGGUGCUGCAUGGCUGUCGUCAGCUCGUGUUGUGAAAUGUUGGGUUAAGUCCCGCAACGAGCGCAACCCUUAUCCUUUGUUGCCAGCGGUUAGGCCGGGAACUCAAAGGAGACUGCCAGUGAUAAACUGGAGGAAGGUGGGGAUGACGUCAAUCAUCAUGGCCCUUACGAGUAGGGCUACACACGUGCUACAAUGGCGCAUACAAAGAGAAGCGACCUCGCGAGAGCAAGCGGACCUCAU